AUUGAACGCUGGCGGCAUGCCUUACACAUGCAAGUCGAACGGCAGCACGGGAGCAAUCCUGGUGGCGAGUGGCGAACGGGUGAGUAAUAUAUCGGAACGUGCCCAGUAGUGGGGGAUAGCCCGGCGAAAGCCGGAUUAAUACCGCAUACGACCUGUGGGUGAAAGCGGGGGAUCGCAAGACCUCGCGCUAUUGGAGCGGCCGAUAUCAGAUUAGCUAGUUGGUGGGGUAAAGGCCUACCAAGGCGACGAUCUGUAGCUGGUCUGAGAGGACGACCAGCCACACUGGGACUGAGACACGGCCCAGACUCCUACGGGAGGCAGCAGUGGGGAAUUUUGGACAAUGGGCGCAAGCCUGAUCCAGCCAUGCCGCGUGU
rnacentral:rRNA from 1 species